rnacentral:rRNA from 1 species
AUUGAACGCUGGCGGCAUGCCUUACACAUGCAAGUCGAACGGCAGCACGGGAGCAAUCCUGGUGGCGAGUGGCGAACGGGUGAGUAAUACAUCGGAACGUGCCCAGUAGUGGGGGAUAACCCGGCGAAAGCCGGACUAAUACCGCAUACGACCUACGGGUGAAAGCAGGGGAUCGCAAGACCUUGCGCUAUCGGAGCGGCCGAUGUCAGAUUAGCUUGUUGGCGGGGUAAAAGCCCACCAAGGCGACGAUCUGUAGCUGGUCUGAGAGGACGACCAGCCACACUGGGACUGAGACACGGCCCAGACUCCUACGGGAGGCAGCAGUGGGGAAUCUUGCGCAAUGCGCGAAAGCGUGACGCAGCAACGCCGCGUGCGGGAAGACGG